CCUACGGGAGGCAGCAGUGAGGAAUAUUGGUCAAUGGGCGCAAGCCUGAACCAGCCAAGUCGCGUGAGGGAUGACGGUCCUAUGGAUUGUAAACCUCUUUUGUCGGGGAGCAAGGCCCGCCACGUGUGGCGGGAAGGAGAGUACCCGAAGAAAAAGCAUCGGCUAACUCCGUGCCAGCAGCCGCGGUAAUACGGGGGGGGCGAGCGUUGUCCGGAAUGACUGGGCGUAAAGGGAGUGUAGGCGGCAUAUUAAGUUAUGUGUGAAAGCCCGGGGCUCAACCGCGGAAUUGCACAUAAAACUGGUAAGCUGGAGUGCAGGAGAGGUAAGUGGAAUUCGCGGUGUAGCGGUGGAAUGCGUAGAUAUCGGGAGGAACACCAGAGGCGAAGGCGACUUACUGGACUGUAACUGACGCUGAGGCUCGAAAGCGUGGGGAGCAAACAGGAUUAGAUACCCCUGUAGUC
rnacentral:rRNA from 1 species